AGACAGGAGUCAAGCGUUAUCCGGAAUGAUUGGGCGUAAAGCGUCUGUAGGUGGCUUUUUAAGUCCGCCGUCAAAUCCCAGGGCUCAACCCUGGACAGGCGGUGGAAACUACCAAGCUGGAGUACGGUAGGGGCAGGGAGGUCGAUUCGGAUGGCGGUGAAAUGCGUAGAGAUCGGAAAGAACACCAACGGCGAAAGCACUCUGCUGGGCCGACACUGACACUGAGAGACGAAAGCUAGGGGAGCGAAUGGG
rnacentral:rRNA from 1 species